GUACACUCCUGCGGGAGGCAGCAGUGGGGAAUUUUGGACAAUGGGCGAAAGCCUGAUCCAGCCAUGCCGCGUGCAGGAUGAAGGCCUUCGGGUUGUAAACUGCUUUUGUACGGAACGAAACGGCCUUUUCUAAUAAAGAGGGCUAAUGACGGUACCGUAAGAAUAAGCACCGGCUAACUACGUGCCAGCAGCCGCGGUAAUACGUAGGGUGCAAGCGUUAAUCGGAAUUACUGGGCGUAAAGCGUGCGCAGGCGGUUAUGUAAGACAGUUGUGAAAUCCCCGGGCUCAACCUGGGAACUGCAUCUGUGACUGCAUAGCUAGAGUACGGUAGAGGGGGAUGGAAUUCCGCGUGUAGCAGUGAAAUGCGUAGAUAUGCGGAGGAACACCGAUGGCGAAGGCAAUCCCCUGGACCUGUACUGACGCUCAUGCACGAAAGCGUGGGGAGCAAACAGGAUUAGAUACCCUGGUAGUCCC
rnacentral:rRNA from 1 species